rnacentral:rRNA from 1 species
UACGGGGGGGGCAAGCGUUGUUCGGAAUUACUGGGCGUAAAGGGCUCGUAGGCGGCCAACUAAGUCAGAUGUGAAAUCCCCAGGCUUAACCUGGGAACUGCAUCUGAUACUGGAUGGCUUGAAUCCGGGAGAGGGAUGCAGAAUUCCAGGUGUAGCGGUGAAAUGCGUAGAUAUCUGGAGGAAUACCGGUGGCGAAGGCGGCAUCCUGGACCGGUACUGACGCUGAGGAGCGAAAGCGUGGGGAGCGAACAGG